CUCUGCGACGUUGACACAAAUCAAAUGACCCUUUCGCCUUUUACUAAAGAGUCCUGUGUGUGAGCGUCAUCACGCAGAGUUGUCCAAUUUUUUGCCACCCUUCGUCUCUCAAGAGA
rnacentral:snRNA from 1 species